AAAGAAACCAGAAUCAAGAGAUAGCAAGCGGAUAUGCGCUCUGGUGCCAUAGGCGGAAGAAUUCAUUCGAUGGGUUCGGUUUCUCGACCAUUCUCAGCAAGCGUCUUUGUGAUCACCCAACCUUGGUGAAGAAACUUGACAUAGCUAACCUGCGAACCUCGUCUUGAAUGACGAUGUCACGGCGGACCGAUCAAGUUGAGUUAGCAUUUGUCGGUGAAUUGCAAGUAGCUACUAGUCCUGGCUACCGUGUGACAAGACCUACAAGACGUACCCGGUAACUAUAGAGCUUAGGAACAGCACGCUAUUGACCACGGUCUUUUGCAAACAUUAACAACCCAAUUCAAAUCCGUAUUGGACUAUAAUUGGAAAUCGGUUGCACACAUAAAAAGAAAAUUGGAGUUUAUGUGAUUGUAGUUGCAAGACACACAAAUGGAAAGAAAAGAAGCCGUAACGACUCGAUUAAACUACUAAUUUAUUGCAACUUGAAGGACAACGAAGUUGCGUAGACACUCACCGUCUGGAUCUCACAAAUUUCCACUGAAAUCACACCAAAGCCCUUGCUUCGCCCCUUGAAUUAUUACAGAAUCCCUUGCCAAACACGCAUGUAUUGGAAGAGACACUGCCGUGGAAUUCAAGCCUCCUCUUGUUUUCCAUGGGGCACCAC
rnacentral:lncRNA from 1 species